rnacentral:rRNA from 1 species
AAUGGGUCAGCGACUUAUAUUCUGUAGCAAGGUUAACCGAAUAGGGGAGCCGAAGGGAAACCGAGUCUUAACUGGGCGUUAAGUUGCAGGGUAUAGACCCGAAACCCGGUGAUCUAGCCAUGGGCAGGUUGAAGGUUGGGUAACACUAACUGGAGGACCGAACCGACUAAUGUUGAAAAAUUAGCGGAUGACUUGUGGCUGGGGGUGAAAGGCCAAUCAAACCGGGAGAUAGCUGGUUCUCCCCGAAAGCUAUUUAGGUAGCGCCUCGUGAAUUCAUCUCCGGGGGUAGAGCACUGUUUCGGCAAGGGGGUCAUCCCGACUUACCAACCCGAUGCAAACUGCGAAUACCGGAGAAUGUUAUCACGGGAGACACACGGCGGGUGCUAACGUCCGUCGUGAAGAGGGAAACAACCCAGACCGCCAGCUAAGGUCCCAAAGUCAUGGUUAAGUGGGAAACGAUGUGGGAAGGCCCAGACAGCCAGGAUGUUGGCUUAGAAGCAGCCAUCAUUUAAAGAAAGCGUAAUAGCUCACUGGUCGAGUCGGCCUGCGCGGAAGAUGUAACGGGGCUAAACCA